UGAAAGGGAUGCAGAACCCACC
rnacentral:piRNA from 1 species